rnacentral:tRNA from 1 species
GGCCCCGUGGCUCAAUUGUAUAGAGCAUCUGACUACGGAUCAGAAGGUUGCAGGUUAGAAUCCUGCCGGGGUCA